AACUAAAACUUAUUUUGCAUCUCCUGUCACAUGGUGAGGCCAAAAACAAUAUCCACAUCUAUGUAACAAACAAAAAACUGAUCAAAUAGAACAAAAGGGAACCAAUCACCAAACCAGAACCGCUUUUCCUUCAAAAAUGGUGAAGAACCACACAAAGAUCCAUCUGAAAUGGAAGUGCAUAAACAAUAAGCAAGGGGAAAGCCCAGGAAGAAGACAAUGACAGUAGAAAAAUAUUAUACUCCCUCUACAAUGCUUCACGUCCAACAACCAGACCAAGAUAGCCCCACCUUAAGCUCCGACUUUGGUAGAAUCAAAACUUAUUUUGUAUCUCCUGUCAAAGGGUGGGACCAAAAACAAUAUACACAUGUACGUAACAAACAAAAAAUAGAUUAAACAGAGCAAAAGGGAACCAAGCACCAAACCAGAACCGCCUUCCCACGAGAACUGGUUAAUUAGAACCCAAAGAUCAAACAUUUGAAGAUUAAAGAGCAUAACAAUAAGCAAAGGGAAAAAGUUCACCUAGAAGAUAAAUCACAAUAGAAAAAUAAUAUACUCCUGUUGACACCCACCAUAAACACUAUACCAAUGGCAGCAUCCAAGAUUGGUCCAUAUCCAAAUAACCAGACCAAGAUAGCCUCACCUUAAAUACCUAACUUUGAUGGAAUCAAAACCAAUUUUGUAUCUCCUGACACAGGGUGAGGCAGAAAACAAGGUCCAAGUCUACGUAACAAAAUAAAACUAUAAUAGAGAGCAAAGAUAACCAAGGAUCAAACCAGAACAGUCUUCCACAGAAGCCUGAUUAAGAAACACACAACGAUCCGGCAUCUGGAAAUUGAAAAGAAUAACGAUAAGCAAGGGAAAGUUUAGGUAGAAUAUAAAAUUUAGUAAAAAAGUUACAAUACUAUACUCCCUAUGCAACCCUUGAUAAACACUAUAUCAAUGACAGCGUCAAAGGUUGCUCCGUGUCCAACAAUCAGACCAAGAUUGCACCACCAUAAGCUCCUACUUUGAUAGAAUCAAAACUUAAUUUAUAUUUUGUGUCAUAGGGUGAUGCAGAAAACAAUAUCCACGCCAACGUAACAAACAAAAAACUGAUGAAAGAGAAAAAAGAUAACAAAGCAUCAAACCGAACAGCCUUCCAAUUAAGAACCACAACGAUCAGAAAUCUGAAAAUUGAAGAGUAUAACGACAAGCACCGGAAACUCUAGGUAGAAGAGAAAAUAUAGUAGAAGAAAAUGUAGUAUAACAAUCUGCAUCCCUCAAUAAACAUUAUAUCAAUUGACAUCUUAUAUUAGUCCGCAUCCAACAACCCCACCAAGUUGGCCCCCACCUUAAGCUCCCACUUUGAUAGAAUAAAACUGAAUUUGUAUCUCCUGUCACAGGGUGAGGGCGAAAAAAAUAUCAAAGUCUACGUAACAAAAAAAAAAAAACUAUAAUAGAGAACACAGACAACCAAGCGUCAAACAAGAACUGCCUUUCAGAGAAGCUUGAUUAAGAACAAAACAGCAACCAAAGAUUUGUCCAUGUCCAAAAACCAGACCAAGAUAGCCCCCACCUUAAGCUCCUACUUUGAUAGAAUCAAAACCUAUUUUGUAUCUCCUGUCACAGGGUGAGGCUGAAAACAACAUCCAAGUCUACAUAACAGCAAAAGAACUAUAAUUGAGAGAGCAAAGAUAACCAAUUAUCAAACCCGAACUGCCUUCCAGUUAAACUUGAUUAAGAACCACAUAAUGAACAGGCAUCUGGAAAUGGAAGAGAGACUAACAAUAACCACAGGAAAGUCUAGAUGGAAGAUAAAUUGUAGUAGAAAAAAAUACUAUAUUAUACUCCCUCUGCCAUCCUCGAUAAACACUAUAAUUGACAGCGUCAAAGGUUGAUCUGUGGCCAAUAUAACUAAACCAAGAUUAGCCCCACCUUGAGCUCCUACUUUGAUAAAAUCAAAACAAAAUUUUUAUCAUCUGCCAUAGGAUGAGGCAGAAAUACAAUAUACACGUAUACGUAACAAACAAAAAAACUGAUGAUAGAGAGAAAAGAUAAACCCAGCAUCAAACCAGAAGUGCCUUCAAGUAAAGAACACCUGGAAAUUGAAGAGUAUAACGAUAAGUAUAGGAAACUCAAGGUAAAAGAGAAAACGUAAAAAAAAAAAAAAUAACUAUACUGUACACCAUCUGCCACCCUCGACAAACACUAUAUCAAUGAUGGCAUCAUAGAUUAGUCCAUAUCCAAAAACCAGACCAAGAUAACCCCCACCUUAAGCUUCAACUUUGAUAGAAUCAAAACCUAUUUUGUCUCCUGGCACAGGGUGAGGACCAAAACAUUGUCCAAGUCUACAUAACAAAUAAACAAUAAUUACAGAGCAAAGGUGACCAAUUAGCAAACCAGAACAGCCUUCCCGUGAAGCUUGAUUAAAAACCACACAGCGAUCAGGCAUCUGGAAAUUGAUGAGAACAACGGUAAGCAUGGGAAAGUCUAGGUAGAAGAUAAAAGAUAGUAAAAAAAAAAAAAACUAUUCUAUACUCUCUUUGCCAGGCCCACACCACUAUAUCAAUGACAGCAUCAAAGGUAGAUCCGUGUUCAAUAACCAGGCCAACAUUAGCCACACCAUAAGCUCCUUCUUUCAAAACUUAAUUUUUAUCUCCUAUCAUAGGGUGAGGCAGAGAACAAUAUCCACGUCUACAUAACAACAAAAAAUUGUUGAAACUGACAAAAGAUAACCAAGAAAACAAGAAGUGCCAUCCAUUAUGGAAAUUGAAGAGUAUAACUAUAAACACGGGAAACUCUAGGUAGAAGAGAAAAUGUAGUAGAAAAAAAAAAUACUAUUAUGUAUUUCCUUUGCGACCCUCGAUUUACAAUAUACCAAUGAUAACAUCAAAGAUCUGUCCGCGUCCAAAAACCAGACCAAGAUAGCCCCCACAUUAAGCUCCUACAGUGAUGGAAUCAAAACCUAUUUUGUAUCUCCUGUCACAGGGUAGGCCCAAAACAAUAUCCAAGUCUAUAUAACAACAAAAGAAAUAUAAUAGAGAGAUCAAAUGCAACCAAUUAUGAACCCAGAACUGCCUUCCAGUUAAGCUUGAUUAAGAACCACACAACGAUCAGGCAUCUGGAAAUUGAAGAGAAUAACAAUAAGCACGGGAAAGUCAAGAUGGAAGAUAAAUUGUAGCAGAAUUAAUACAAUACUAUACUCCCUCUGACACCCUCGAUAAACAUUAUAUCAGUGACAGCAUCAAAAGUUGAUAUGUCUCCAAUAACUAGACCAAGAUUAGCCCCACCAUAAGCUGCUUCUUUCACAACUUAAUUUUUAACCCCUGUCACAAGGUGAGGCAGAAAACAAUAUCCACGUCUACGUAACAAAUAAAAGAUUGUUGAAACUGACAAAAGAUAACCAAGCAUACCAGAAGUGCCUUCCAGUUAAGAACCACACAACAAUCAGACAUCUGGAAAUUGAAGAGUAUAACUAUUAGCACGGGAAACUCUAGGUAGAAGAGAAAAUGUAGUAGAAAAAAAAUACUAUUAUGUACUCCAUGUACUCCCUUUACCACCCACAUUAAACUAUAUCAAUGACAGCAUGAAGGAUUUGUCAGUGUACCAAAAACCAGACCAAGACACGCCCCCACCUUAAGCUCCUACUUUGAUAGAAUCAGAACCUAUUUUGUAUCUCCUAUCACAGGGUGAGGCUGAAACCAACAUCGAGUCUAAAUAACAACAAAAGAACUACAAUAGAGAGAGCAAAGGUAACCAACUAUCAAACCCGAACUGCCGUCCAGUAAGCUUGAUUAAGAACCACACAACGAUCGGGCAUCUGGAAAUGGAAGAGAAUAACGAUAAGCACCGGAAGGUCUAGAUGGAAGAUAAAUUGUAUUAGAAGAAAUACUAUACUAACUCCCUCUGCCACCCUCGAAAAACAUAUCAUGACCAUCAAAGGAUUGAUUGUGUGCAAUAACUGACUAAGAUUAGCCCUACCUUAAGCCCUACUUUGAUAAAAUUAAAACUUAAUUUUUAUCUCAUGUCAUAGGGUGGGGCAGAAAACAAUAUCACGUCUAUGUACAAACAAAAAUUGUUGAAAUGACAAAAGAUAACCAAACAUCAAACCAGAAGUGUCAUCCAGUUAAGAACCACCCCACGAUCAGACAUCUGGAAAUUGAAGAGUAUAUCUAUAAGCACGGGAAACUCUAGGUAGAAGAGAAAAUGUAUAGAAAUAAAAAUACUAUUAUGUACUCCCUUUGCCACCCUCGAUUAACACAAUAUCAAUGACUCAUCAAAGAUCUGUCCGCGUCCAAAAACCAGACCAAGAUAGCCCCCACAUUAAGCUCCUACAGUGAUGGAAUCAAAACCUAUUUUGUAUCUCCUGUCACAGGGUAGGCCCAAAACAAUAUCCAAGUCUAUAUAACAACAAAAGAAUAUAAUAGAGAGAUCAAAUGCAACCAAUUAUGAACCCAGAACUGCCUUCCAGUUAAGCUUGAUUAAGAACCAAACAACGAUCAGGCAUCUGGAAAUCGAAGAGAAUAACAAUAAGCACGGGAAAGUCAAGAUGGAAGAUAAAUUGUAGCAGAAUUAAUACAAUACUAUACUCCCUCUGACACCCUCGAUAAACAUUAUAUCAGUGACAGCAUCAAAAGUUGAUGUCUCCAGUAACUAGACCAAGAUUAGCCCCACCAUAAGCUGCUUCUUUCACAACUUAAUUUUUAACUCCUGUCACAAGGUGAGGCAGAAAACAAUAUCCACGUCUACGUAACAAAUAAAAGAUUGUUGAAACUGACAAAAGAUAACCAAGCAUACCAGAAGUGCCUUCCAGUUAAGAACCACACAACAAUCAGACAUCUGGAAAUUGAAGAGUAUAACUAUUAGCACGGGAAACUCUAGGUAGAAGAGAAAAUGUAGGUAGAAAAAAAAUACUAUUAGUACUCCCUUUACCACCCACUAUUAACACUAUAUCAAUGACAGCAUGAAGGAUUUGUCAGUGUCCAAAAACCAGACCAAGACAGCCCCCACCUUAAGCUCCUACUUGAUAGAAUCAGAACCUAUUUUGUAUCUCCUAUCACAGGGUGAGGCUGAAACCAACAUCCGAGUCUAAAUAACAACAAAAGAACUACAAUAGAGAGAGCAAAGGUAACCAACUAUCAAACCCGAACUGCCGUCCAGUUAAGCUUGAUUAAGAACCACACAACGAUCGGGCAUCUGGAAAUGAAGAGAAUAACGAUAAGCACCGGAAGGUCUAGAUGGAAGAUAAAUUGUAUAGAAGAAAUACUAUACUAUACUCCCUCUGCCACCCUCGAUAAACACACUAUAUAGUGACCACGUCAAAGGAUUGACUUGUGUGCAAUAACUUGACUAAGAUUAGCCCUACCUUAAGCUCCUACUUGAUAAAAUUAAAACUUAAUUUUUAUCUCAUGUCAUAGGGUGGGGCAGAAAACAAUAUCCACGUCUAUGUAGCAAACAAAAUUGUUGAACUGACAAAAGAUAACCAAACAUCAAACAGAAGUGUCUCCAGUUAAGAACCACCCCACGAUCAGACAUCUGGAAAUUGAAGAGUAUAUCUAUAAGCACGGGAAACUCGAGGUAGAAGAGAAAAUGUAGUAGAAUAAAAAUACUAUUAUGUACUCCCUUUGCCACCCUCGAUUAACACAAUAUCAAUGACUACAUCAAAGAUCUGUCGCGUCCAAAAACCAGACCAAGAUAGCCCCCACAUUAAGCUCCUACAGUGAUGGAAUCAAAACCUAUUUUGUAUCUCCUGUCACAGGGUAGGCUCAAAACAAUAUCCAAGUCUAUAUAACAACAAAAGAAAUAUAAUAGAGAGAUCAAAUGCAACCAAUUAUGAACCCAGAACUGCCUUCCAGUUAAGCUUGAUUAAGAACCAAACAACGAUCAGGCAUCUGGAAAUCGAAGAGAAUAACAAUAAGCACGGGAAAGUCAAGAUGGAAGAUAAAUUGUAGCAGAAUUAAUACAAUACUAUACUCCCUCUGACACCCUCGAUAAACAUUAUAUCAGUGACAGCAUCAAAAGUUGAUAGUCUCCAUAACUAGACCAAGAUUAGCCCCACCAUAAGUGCUUCUUUCACAACUUAAUUUUUAACCCCUGUCACAAGGUGAGGCAGAAAACAAUAUCCACGUCUACGUAACAAAUAAAAGAUUGUUGAAACUGACAAAAGAUAACCAAGCAUACCAGAAGUGCCUUCCAGUUAAGAACCACACAACAUCAGACAUCUGGAAAUUGAAGAGUAUAUCUAUAGCACGGGAAAUUCUAGGUAGAAGAGAAAAUGUAGUAGAAAAAAAAUACUAUUAUGUACUCCCUUUCCACCCCGAUUAAACAUAUCAAUGACCAUAAGAUUGUCGGUCCAAAAACCAGACCAAGACAGCCCCCACCUUAAGCUCCUACUUUGAUAGAAUCAGAACCUAUUUUGUAUCUCCUAUCACAGGGUGAGGCUGAAACCAACAUCGAGUCUAAAUAACAACAAAAGAACUACAAUAGAGAAAGCAAAGGUAACCAACUAUCAAACCCGAACUGCCGUCCAGUUAAGCUUGAUUAAGAACCACACAACGAUCGGGCAUCUGGAAAUGGAAGAGAAUAACGAUAAGCACCGGAAGGUCUAGAUGGAAGAUAAAUUGUAUUAGAAGAAAUACUAUCUAUACUCCCUCUGCCACCCUCGAUAAACACACUAUAUCAGUGACCACGUCAAAGGAUUGACUUGUGUGCAAUAACUUGACUAAGAUUAGCCCUACUUAAGCUCCUACUUUGAUAAAAUUAAAACUUAAUUUUUAUCUCAUGUCAUAGGGUGGGGCAGAAAACAAUAUCCACGUCUAUGUACAAACAAAAUUGUUGAAAUGACAAAAGAUAACCAAACAUCAAACCAGAAGUGUCUCCAGUUAAGAACCACCCAGAUCAGACAUACUGGAAAUUGAAGGUAUAUCUAUAAGACACGGAAAUUGGUAGAAGAGAAAAUUAAGUAGAAUAAAAACUAUUAUGUACUCCCUUUGCCACCCUCGAUUAACACAAUAUCAAUGACUCAUCAAAGAUCUGUCCGCGUACCAAAAACCAGACCAAGAUACCCCACAUUAAGCUCCUACAGUGAUGGAAUCAAAACCUAUUUUGUAUCUCCUGUCACAGGGUAGGCCCAAAACAAUAUCCAAGUCUAUAUAACAACAAAAGAUAUAUAAUAGAGAGAUCAAAUGCAACCAAUUAUGAACCCAGAACUGCCUUCCAGUUAAGCUUGAUUAAGAACCAAACAACGAUCAGGCAUCUGGAAAUCGAAGAGAAUAACAAUAAGCACGGGAAAGUCAAGAUGGAAGAUAAAUUAUAGCAGAAUU
rnacentral:lncRNA from 1 species